rnacentral:rRNA from 1 species
AUUGAACGCUGGCGGCAGGCCUAACACAUGCAAGUCGAACGGUAGCACAGAGAGCUUGCUCUCGGGUGACGAGUGGCGGACGGGUGAGUAAUGUCUGGGAUACUGCCCGAUGGAGGGGGAUAACUACUGGAAACGGUAGCUAAUACCGCAUAACGUCGCAAGACCAAAGUGGGGGACCUUCGGGCCUCACACCAUCGGAUGUGCCCAGAUGGGAUUAGCUAGUAGGUGGGGUAAUGGCUCACCUAGGCGACGAUCCCUAGCUGGUCUGAGAGGAUGACCAGCCACACUGGAACUGAGACACGGUCCAGACUCCUACGGGAGGCAGCAGUGGGGAAUACUGCACAAUGGGCGCAAGCCUGAUGCAGCCAUGCCGCGUGUAUGAAGAAGGCCUUCGGGUUGUAAAGUACUUUCAGCGGGGAGGAAGGCGGUGAAGUUAAUAGCUUCACCGAUUGACGUUACCCGCAGAAGAAGCACCGGCUAACUCCGUGCCAGCAGCCGCGGUAA